GACGAACGCUGGCGGCGUGCUUAACACAUGCAAGUCGAACGGUAAGGCCCUUCGGGUACGACGAGUGGCGAACGGGUGAGUAACACGUGGGUGAUCUGCCCUGCACUUCGGGAUAAGCCUGGGAAACUGGGUCUAAUACCGGAUAGGACCAUGGACUUCACGGUUUGUGGUGGAAAGCUUUUGCGGUGUGGGAUGGGCCCGCGGCCUAUCAGCUUGUUGGUGGGGUAAUGGCCUACCAAGGCGACGACGGGUAGCCGGCCUGAGAGGGUGUCCGGCCACACUGGGACUGAGAUACGGCCCAGACUCCUACGGGAGGCAGCAGUGGGGAAUAUUGCACAAUGGGCGCAAGCCUGAUGCAGCGACGCCGCGUGAGGGAUGACGGCCUCGGUUGUAAC
rnacentral:rRNA from 1 species